UUAAACCUAAAAAUCUAUAAUGUUUUUGAGAAUAGAUGCAAUACUGCAGUACAAUAUUUACUUACACCUCUAGUAUUUAUCUAUUUUCAAAAGCAGUCCAGAACGGACAAAGUAAACACUGACUGUAGGAAGGGCUUUUCGUGUUUUUCUCAAGUUUUACAACCACUGUAAUUUCUCCAGCGCACUUCACAGCCUGUUCUCAUUCCCAUGUUGUCAAAUACAGACGCCAGCGGUCUUCAGUUAUUUGCAAAAGAUGCCACUAAAUUAUACACACUGGACCUUUAAUGACACUAAAAAUAUGUAGGUUUUUCUUUUGUCAUUUACACUACGUAAAUAAGCACAUUCACACAUACACACACGUAUUUAUCCAGCCCUAAUUUCCCUCCGUCACUUAGGACUCAACUUGCAACACAAACUAAAGCCGCCAGCAAGGUCCAUUAAUCUGUUCGAGUUAGACCACUUCCUCUCUCGCUCUCUCACUCUCUCCCUGUCUCUCUCUUCUCUCUCUCUCUCUCUCUCUCUCUCUCUCUCUCUCUGUCUCAGGCAGCUGUGUGUGUGUCUGCUUGUAUUGAUCUCUGCUGCUCUCUGUGUCCAUUAGUGGCCCAGGAGGCAGACGCUCUGUCUGUCUGAAGUGUGUGUGGGUCCGUAUGAAGGUCUGUUAUCAGACACUCAUCAAACACUGCAGAAUCUCCACAGCAGAGGCCUCGUAUGAACAACAAAGAAAGACAAUUUCAAUCCAUCAUACCCGGCUAAAGUUACAGGGAAUGGAAUUCAUUUUUUUUCUGACGUCCCCUGUCAGUGAAAUAUCUCGUCUGACAGCAUGACAGAUUGCUAUAACUUUAACAAUGAAAGAGGUUUCUGCACAGUGUGUACCACAGAGCAAGAGGUGCUGGGAACUGCAAGAUGAACUUGAAAAGUUUGUGGUAAUGACUCCACACUCCAUAAAAAGUUCAUGACAGUUCAUGAGCCUGAUGAAGCAGUGAGUGAACCCGGUUGUUCUGGCCAGUGUUGGUAAAAGACUGCAGAUUAUAGACACUACUCACAAAAAGUUAGGGAUAUUUGGCUUUCGGAUGAAAUUUCAGAAUGUACAUAAAAUGCACUAUAACCUUUCCAGGUGAUCUUAAUUUGACCUUCUACUUAAAUGCCCUACUUUCAUGAUAUAAUAUCACUGUAGCAUCAACUUUUUACAUUUUCCAUAAAUUUCACCCGAAAGUGGAAUAUCCCUAACUUUUUGUGAGUAGUGUACUUUUAUGGAGCGUGCAUUCACCAUUGGUAAAAGCACUUUUUUUUCUUUCUGAGAUUCCCAAAACACGUUAUUAAGAUGAGCAAAGAAUCACCCAGAGAGUGUGUACACCACCCCAAACCCAAUGAGAGUGUUCCUGUAAGUAAAUGUAUCUUACUAGUGGCUCUCUGCCAGAAACAA
rnacentral:lncRNA from 1 species